CAGCGCCGCAAGUGGUGACCAUGUUUAUUGGGCCUAAAGCGUUCGUAGCCGGUUUAAUAAAUUCUUUGUGAAAUUGUUGGGCUUAACCCAACAGCGGGCAGAGAAGACUGUUAAACUUGGGACCGGGAGGAGUUGGAGGUAUUCUGGGGGGAGCGGUAAAAUGCGAUAAUCCCUAGAGGACCAUCUGUGGCGAAGGCGUCCAACCAGAACGGGUCCGACGGUGAGGAACGAAAGCUAGGGGAGCGAUUCGGAUUAGAUACCCGAGUAGUCC
rnacentral:rRNA from 1 species